AUUGAACGCUGGCGGCAUGCCUUACACAUGCAAGUCGAACGGUAACAGCACUUCGGUGGCUGACGAGUGGCGAACGGGUGAGUAAUACAUCGGAACGUGCCCGAGAGUGGGGGGAUAACGCAGCGAAAGCUGUGCUAAUACCGCAUACGAUCUACGGAUGAAAGCGGGGGAUCGCAAGACCUCGCGCGAUUGGAGCGGCCGAUAUCAGAUUAGCUAGUUGGUGGGGUAAAAGCUCACCAAGGCGACGAUCUGUAGCUGGUCUGAGAGGACGACCAGCCACACUGGAACUGAGACACGGUCCAGACUCCUACGGGAGGCAGCAGUAAGGGAAUUUUCGGCAAUGGGGGAAACCCUGACCGAGCAAUGCCGCGUGAAUGAAGAAGGUCUUCGGACUGUAAAAUUCUGUUAUUUGUGGAAGAAAGGUAGUUGGAGGAAAUGCCAAUUACUUGACGGUACCAAAUGAGAAAGCCCCGGUAAACUAUGUGCCAGCAGCCG
rnacentral:rRNA from 1 species